GAUCAGGUAGGAAGCGGACUUCUUCUUCUAAUGUUUGUGAGCAAAUAAGACGGUGCAUUAGCGCCACCUGUUGGACCGGAGGACAGACCAGAAUAGGAGCAGCAGCAACACCAGCAGCAGCAGCAACAAAGCCUACAGCCUAUUCAAAAUGCUGCAGCCAGAGAUCUGACGGGACUAACAGAGAUCACAUUUGUCCGAUAUUCGCUUCUCUGCAUUGGCACCCUGUGAAAUCUUCAUCAUAAAACUACACCUAAGGGAGUGUGAGGGUUCCACGCCCCAGUGCUCCGUGUCCUCUGGCAGUGACAGCUGACGCAUCACAGGAGGGUAGAAGCUGGGUCCACCUGGAGGUCAGUCAUUACUAUGAAUCAUUUAGGCAAAGCAUCACUGGCAGCUUAAGGAGAAGAGAUCAGACUUCAGCGCUGGCGACUUCAAGCGUGUUAAGAAGAAUAGAUCCAGUGAGAAGAGCAUUAGGAGGUCAAGGACAAUUCAGUGGAGAGUCAACAACAUAUCAGUUCCAAACCAGGAACAUUGAUACAAACCACAAAGUUAAAUCCAUAGGGAUUUAUUUUCCGUGGAGCGGUGGAUCGAAGCAGUUGCUGCAUUGCCUGCCUCAUGUUUCACAGACAACAGAGCAGCUUUUCCAGGAGGCUGUCAAGCUUCCUCAAAAUCAAAGACAAUUAUAUGUUUUGCCAACACAGCAGCCUCAGCCGUCAGCAGCAAAGAGUUAAAGUCAAUAAAUCCUUUUGCUGACGUUGGGAAUUAUGGGACAGAACCUUUAGCAGCCUGUCAUCUGCUGGAAAUGUGAAUGAACAGUGAAUGAUCUGCUUCAUUAAAGAGUUUAUUACUGUUCUCUACAGCAGAUUUAUAGUAGCGAGAUGAAAUAGUGACCUACUGAUGACAGUAUAUAAGUGUAUAUAAAAUGGGUUCAUAACAAAAACAUGAAUGUUAUCUUGUAAAUUUUAUUUUUGAGUUUUAAGCUAUUUUUGAGUCUGAAUAUUGGCAUUUAAGGUUACUCCUUAUAGGCACAACUGUAAUAAUCACAGUAAUUCGCUUUACAGCAUUCGUUGUCGUAACUGACGGCAGGACUCAGCAGAUCUACGACUUAUUAUUGCAGCAACAUGUUUGUUCUACAUAUGUUUACUCCACAUGUUGUGUCUGCCUGAACCUGCACGAGUGACGAGGACAGUUUAAACUGUAUGAUGUAUCGAAUGCACCACUUCACACUUCUCUGUGUGUGAGACCAGUGAGUGAGGAUGAGGUGGUGACGAUUGUAUUUGGUCACUAGAUGGAGACGCCUCAGUGGCAGCGAUGACUUUGAAAUCCUGGUGCAGACAGUUUUCAAACCCUCAACAGCAUCGUGUAAUUGAUCUCACAUUUUUUCAUCCGUUUUAUUUGAAUGCAUUUGGUUGAACUCACACAAAUACUUGAUUCCACCAAAAAGCUUAAAUAGUAACGUCAAGAUAAGACAUAGGCAGUUUCCAUAAUCCUUCACCAGAUCAACACCUUUACUUAUUACACACAUGUAUUUUGGGAGAUGAGUAAGUGUUUAGAGCAUGUGUGACUGUGAGAAGGUUUAGGGAUAAGUGCUGGAGUACAAGUGCAGUUUGAAGGGCGUGUGUGAUGGGACUGAUGUGGGGUUUAGGUUCAGAGAGGUUAAAUAUAUGUUUACACAAACUGUUCACUGCAGAGGGUGAUUAGGAUAAAAACAGAGGUCAGAAAAGAGAGUGUUAGACUGAAGAUAUACGUACACAGCUGCAGGUGAACUGAGUUUUUUAGUUUUCAGCGCAAAAACAUUAACUCAUUUGUGAUGGCUGGGAGUCAAACCAAGGUCAACAUUUGUGUUGUGUGACCAGUCCAGUUUAUUAUUCAGAUGAACACUCAGGUAUUUGUAAGAGUCCGCUCUCUCAAUGUCUUUACCUCGGAUGUUCACUGGUGGUAGUGCAGAGUGAGAGUAUCUGGAAAACUCCUACUUUUUGGUUUUCACUACGUUGAUCUGGAGGUGGUUCCCUUGACGCCAGUCCACAAAGCUUUGGAUCAGUUCUGUGUAUGAGUUUCAGAUUCAUUGUGAGGGAAGGGAUGAGGGAGUGAAUAGGGGAGACUGGGUGGGGGCAGUGGUGGACCGCUCAUCAAAUCUAGUAAUGAAUAUAUUCAAGUCACUCACCCACUUCAGGUUCCCCUCAGCUGGUUGCCUGAACACAGGCUGGAGACGAACAGUAGCGUGUGUUCAUCAUGUUACAGUUCUUCUCAAAUGCUAAAACACAUUUCACAAACGUUCCCUGCAUGUUCCCCAAGGUCUAAACACAACACCCUUUUCCAAACCUACAUUAACACAACCACACCUUUCCACUUCAAAACUUCACACCAAAAGAGCAGCUCGAAGCUUUCAAAAAUGUAAACACAAUACACAUCAGUGCACAGACAGGGUGGCAGACAGACUGAAAAUAUAUACUAUCCAUGCACACAAGUUUUAUGUAUAAUAUAUAUUUCCCAUGACUGACAGUUUUUGUUUGUCAGGGUGUUGUUUACCUGUACUCAUUCUUUUAAUUUCACCCUCAUCUUGAUGUAGGUUUAGCAAAAUCUGCUCCUCCUAAUCAUCUUAAAAGAACGUUUCUUAAAGAGUAAAUGAGAAUCUCAGUGACACAAAUUACUAAAAUUGAUAAUGGAAACUUUAUUGUUUACAGAUCAAGAUGAUGACUGAGGGGUGUAGAAGUGUUCUGAUGCCAAUCUGUAGGACCAAGGGGGGUCAUGCAGAGCUGCAGCAACUACAGGAAUAACUAAAAGGAAUGAAGCAGAUGAGCCACACAAUGAAGCUGAAGAGUAGAGGAAACCAGGCUUAGGAAGGAGGUGGAGAAUCGUGAGCACCAGUUUGGUUUCAUACCCCAGUAAGAUUGUUGCCAUUGAUGGUGAAGUACAGAGAUGGUCACAAGGAGCUGAAUUGUGUCUUUGUAGAUUUAGAGAAGGUGAAUGACAGAGAGGAGCUGUGGUACAGUAUGAGGUUGUGGGGAGUGGCAGAGAAGUACAUUGAAGUAGUUCAGAACAUGUACUGUAUGAGGGGAAUGACGAUGGUGAGAUGUGUGUAGGGUGGAGGUGGGACUACACCAAGUAUCAGCUCUGCUGAUGGACAGGUUGACAGAUGAGGUCAGACAGGAAUCUCCCUGGACAAUGAUGUUUGCUGAUGACAUAGUGAUGUGCAGGGAAAGUAGAGAGCAGGUGGAGAAACAGAAUGUGUCUUGUACCACAAAACCCAGCAAGAACCGUAUCUUUGACUGCUCAAAGGCAAUUUAAAGAAGAAAUUACUAAGAACCUUAAGAUUUUAAGGGCAGAACAAAUUCUAGAAUGUGAAAGCAUGUUAUUGUAAAAAAGGUACUUGAAAAUACUGAAAUAAAAUGUGCAAUGUUUGUGUGUCAAAACAAACUGAGUAAAGUACUGCAACUUUGUUGAACAUGAAAAACAAAGCACCAGCAGCUGAAGCCAUUACCUAAGGUCACAGAAGCCUUCCAUGCGUCAUCAGCAAGGAUUUAAUGUACUGUUGAAGGAAUUUGUGGGGUCAGUCAAGUGCUAUGGUAAAGGUCAGCUCACAGACCAACUGAGUCAGUGAGACACUAUAAAUUACAUGUACAUUACUGUGUACAGUCCAUGGGACAUAAUAGCAACAACGCAGUAGUGAGAAGAUAGUGUGAUGUAUUGAUGUUGUGUUAGCAAUUACAGUAGCUCACAAGGAGCAAAUGUUUCUUCAUAAAUCUUUUUUCUGGUCGUACAAUAAAAUCACAUGAACUUUACCUUCAAAAGAAAUAUUUAGGCUAAGUUUUAUUGAAGUAAUAGAACAUUUUGAGGUAUACUAUUAUGAUUUAGAUUAUCUUUAAAAUAUUGUAGUGAAAGCUCUCGUGUGAAUCACAAUAAUAGGAUCAACUUUAUUCAUCCAACGGUGGGGAAGUUCAGUGAUUCAAACAUGAUCUCUUGUUCAGGUUCAUUUAAGUAGCUCACAGCUACCAGAACCACUGGACCAUUCUUUCCUGUAAUAGGGGAAAAAUCAGACAUUCCUAAGGUUUCACUAGCAUAAAUGACGUGUGCCUCUUCUUAGAGAUCAUGCAUGUUUCAAAGAGCACCAGAAAAAAUUGGUUGUCUUUCAUAGACAAUGUAUAAACAGCUGAGACGCUGUAAACCUACAUGCAUGAUUCGGUGGGAGAGACAUUCCUGUGGUUUCACUGUGCCAAUAUACACAGUAUCACCAGCGCCACCUUGUGGCACGCGCUGCUACAGCAUCACUCACUUUGCUCCGUAACGCGUUUACACAUGAAAACAAAUGGAAACAUCUAAAUUUAACGCUCAAAAUGUCAACAUGCAACAUAUACAGCGUUUACAACAUGACACGACAUAACCAACAUAAUACAACAAAUCAAACUAAGCUUUUACUUUUCUGGCCACUGACUAAAAUUUAAACAUAAAGUAACUGCAAUGGGUGAAAAAUCGAACACAAACUGUGCUACAGUACAGUUUUGAUGCCGCACUUUUGAAGAAUGACUCUGUUACUUUCCUCCAUGAACACGGAUGCUGAGGGAUGUGUUUUCUCUCUGAGAGGAGGCGCUGUCUAGUUUUCUCUGAAUCCCGGACAGUCCCUCCUUUUACACCAUGUGUUAUUCCACCCUGGACUAGAAUUAAUCGCACAUGUUCACCCAUUUUCUAUUGCGUGUAUAAUCUGUAUUGAUUUCAUUUUGUACUUGUGUGUGUCAGAAUUACAGGGGUGAUGGACCCAAACGCACAGACAGGACCUAAAGAGGAGCUUUAAUGCAGACAGUUCCAAAACGGCAGGCAAAGACAUGGUCAGACAGGUCAAAAGAACGGUAAAUCCAAAAUCCAGGCUGAGGUACCAACUGGGUCCAAACACAAGCAAGGUCAGAAACAGGAACCAAAUUAACUGGCUGGACUUACACAAGAGAAUGCUGGACCGCUGCCUAACAGGACAACAAGAACAGACAGUCUGAAGAGAAAAGAGGAGUAAGUGAGUACUGGAGUUUAAAUACAAGACUAAAUACCUGAUUGACUGCAGCUGUGGAGUCACAUGACUGAUUAGUAACACCAGAAUCAACUAGAACGCAGAACCUGAACAGGAAGUGUCAGAAUAAAACAGGAAAUGGCAGAAUGAAAAUUAAGAGUCCAUAUUCAUGACAGUUUGCAUCCUUUCUUGUGUUUUUCUUUCCUUCUGUCUGAAUUGAGGUCAGCUGUUACAAAGCAAAACAAUUUUCUUCUUUUCUCAAAUUUCUGGAUUCUGUGUAUUAAACUGGAUUAAUAAAGUUUUGGAAUUUAAAUUGUUAAAUAAAACACUGGAGAAUGAACUGAUAUAUUAGAGCUUGAAAAGAAACAAGGCUAUGAGAUAAAUAACAUGGGAGCCCAGUCCAGUGUGUCCAGGCAUAUAAAGAGCAAAAGCAUAAAAGAGGCUUUGUUAGUGCAUCAGCAGUGUCAGGUUGACCUCAUUACACAGUUAAAUGGCCUCGACUCCCCAUACAAGAAUGUCAUGCAGCAGGCAGGCCCACAAAACCCCACAUCAUCUACUGCUGUCCAUUUUCUCACACAUUAACUAUUACUAGAAAAGAAAACAAAAACAAGAGAGAAACUAAAUUAAUGAAUAAAUACUGUAAAAACAUUGCAGUAUGCAGAAGAAAUAUGAUCUGUUUGCACUAACCUUUUAUUUGUCCUUAUGUUAAACUAUAGAGCAACCUGCCAUCCAGCAGAUCCACAUACAGGAUCUGAAUAGUUGGGUACAAUUUUAUUAGCAUAAAUUUAAACAUUUUGUUAUGAAGUUUAAUGUUUAAUCGAAGGUAAAGUAAACGAUGAAAUUAUAAACUGAUCAUUCAACCAGUGUCACUCACAAACUAUGAUGUCGAACUAUGUUUGUUUUAGAAAGAUCCAUGAUCCCUCAAAUACUGUACUUGUGUGACUUCAAUCUCUAUCGUGUUUUUACCUUAACGGCACAAAUACACUUAUGCACACUUUGAUGUGUGUAUAAGUGUGUAUUAGAAUAAAGCAAGAAAUGUCAUAUAUUUAUUGGAAAAGUUCAUGAGCUUGUCACUAUCAGGAAAAUGACACAUUGGUAGACUGUAAGGUUGAGAAACUCUUUCAUGACAUGUGUUUCUUCAGUUAACCACAGGAAAACACUGGAUGUUUAGGCACCAGGACAGUAAAGUCAACAAGCUGUUUGAGAUGCAAUAAAUUCGCCAGCAGAGAGCAGCUCUGCAAAGGCAGCUGCAGGAACCGCAUUCAAACAAAAGUGAAAUCGCCUGGUUUGGUUCACAGAGAAACCAGAUUGUAUCUGUGUCAAACUGCAGGAGUUCUAGUCGGAAUUCAUUCAUGAUGUCCCAAAGUUGACAAAGUGAAAAUAACAUCGCUGACGACCAAACAGAAACCACAGACCACACUUCCAUUCCAUUUAACUUUAUGCUUUUUUCACAAAUAUCAUUGUCAUUGUUACUUAUGUGGUAGAUUUCAAGUUUCUGCGGAGUCACAACAUCAGUGAGUAUUUGAAACAAUCUGGUUUGGGCUCAUUUGUUGUUUAUGUCAUCAUAUUCUCUUACACACGGAUAAAACAUUGACAACCUUCAAGUUAAAGCAUUGAAAGCUAAAGUAGCCACUCAAAGCAGGACAAAUCAACAUAACUCUGAAGGUAUGUGGAGGUCAUUUCAGGGUGUGGGACACACCUCAUUUGUAAACGACAGUGGAUGAGUUGCCAACAUACUGUAGAUGUUGUGUAUGUUAGAAUGUCAUGAAUUGAUCCACUGUAUGAGGCCUGUUCCCUCACCUCCUUAGCAUUAACUCCUCCUUCGUGUUUCCCAUAUGGCCACUUGUGAGUUUCAUGUUCUCUCUGGACUCAUCAACUCAGCUUCAUUUGUUUGCUGCUGACAUGUUUCCUUAGCAACAGGCUUUGAAGCUUACCAUGGUGGAGACUAUUCAAAGGAGGCAAAGUGAACAAAGAGGAGACAAGUACACAAGGCAAACACAAAGUCACAUGGAUACCUGUACACGCCAGUGACUCACAUCUGAUGGAAACCCUUGACAACAAGAGAGAACACUUAUUUUGCAUUUUAUAAGUUUCAGCGCUUAUCUGGACCUGGAUAUGUUUGCUAUUAACUCUGCCACUGACUGUCUGAGGCUGGCCCUUAAACUGCUGUUACUUUUCCUCAAUCUCCAUGUUGUUUUAGUUCAAUUAAAAUUGUACACAAAGUUGAUAAAAUAUUUGUUCUAAUACUAGAGAGGUCCCAAAUCCUGUUUUGACAGGAUCCUACACAAAUUAAGUCCUAGUCCCAUUUGCUAGCUUUCCCUCCUCAUCUAUUCUAUGCUUCAUUUCUCACUCUACUUGUGUGUCUUCCAUCCUGCACCACAUCGAUACACCUUCUCUCUCAGUCUGAGA